AUACCCUACUAUGCCCCGCCGUAACCCAGCAAUCAAAUAACCAAUUGCUCGCCAAAUAACUACGAGUAAAAACUUGAAAUUUAAAAGACUUGACGGUACUUCACAACAACCUAGAGGAGCCUGUCCAAUAACCGAUAAUCCACGAUUCACCCCACCCGCUUUUGCCAAACAGUCUAUAUACCGCCGUCGCCAGCUUACCUUGUGAAAGAAACAAAGCAAGCCAAAUAGUACUAACACUAACACGACAGGUCGAGGUGUAACAAAUAAACGGGUCAAAGAUGGGCUACAUUUUCUUAAUUAGAAAAAACGAACAAAGUAUGAAACAACAACCUGAAGGAGGAUUUAGCAGUAAGGUAAAGACAGAAUACUUACCUGAAACUAACGCAAUGAAGUGCGUACACACCGCCCGUCAUCCCUGUAAAAUAACAUAAAUAUCCAUAAUACAUACAUACACCUAAAGCAGGGCAAGUC
rnacentral:rRNA from 1 species